rnacentral:snoRNA from 1 species
CCACUAGAUGAUGAUGAGCUAGUGGAAUACAUCCUCGCUGGCCUUGACGAGGAAUAUGACUCCGUUGUCAACGCGGUUCUUGCAUAAACCGAUUAAGUGAACUUGUUUCACAGAUACUGUCUCUCGAGA